CUACGGGAUGCUCCAGUGGGGAAUAUUGCACAAUGGGCGAAAGCCUGAUGCAGCAACGCCGCGUGCGGGAAGAAGGCCCUAGGGUUGUAAACCGCUUUCAGCAGGGAAGAAAAUGACGGUACCUGCAGAAGAAGGUGCGGCCAACUACGUGCCAGCAGCCGCGGUGACACGUAGGCACCAAGCGUUGUCCGGAUUUAUUGGGCGUAAAGAGCUCGUAGGCGGUUCAGUAAGUCGGGUGUGAAAACUCUGGGCUCAACCCAGAGACGCCACCCGAUACUGCUGUGACUCGAGUGCGGUAGGGGAGCGGGGAAUUCCUAGUGUAGCGGUGACAUGCGCAGAUAUUAGGAGGAACACCAGUGGCGAAGGCGCCGCUCUGGGCCGUAACUGACGCUGAGGAGCGAAAGCGUGGGUAGCAAACAGGAUUAGAUACCCGUGUAGUC
rnacentral:rRNA from 1 species